ACGGUCACUGGAUUGUGUGCUUUACGGCUCUAUCUCUAGUGAUCACAUUGACUCGGGCGCUGCUCUGACCCUUCACAGGGUUAGUGAAGAUUGCCCUGAGACAUACACGCUUGUUUUGUUUGACUGAGUUAUGGUGAAAAUUAAAUAAUGACAACUUUUAACAAUGGAUCUCUUGGCUCUUGCAACGAUGAAGAACGCAGUAAAGUGCGAUAUCUAAUGUGAUUUGCAUGAAUCUGUGAGUCAUCUAGUCUUUGAACGCAACUUGCACCUCUCGAGAAAUCGAGCGGUAUGUCUGUUUGAGAACCACAAACCUCUUUGCUUACCCCUUACACGGUAGCAGAUAUGAGACACUGUGAGUGUCUUGAAAUAAAGCAUGCAGGGCUUGUGAGCGUGUGCCAUGUGCUAGAGAUCGCAAGAUCUUGUCAUGGUGUACAGGAGCGGCCGAAUCAUUUACGCUUUUAAUUGGAGGGGGUCUCAAAUCCAGGGGGCAAGGAUUACCCGGCUGGAACUUAAGGCAUAUCAAUAAGGCGGGGAGGGG
rnacentral:rRNA from 1 species